GCCAGGCAUGGUGGUGCAUGCCUGUAAUCCCAGCAGCUCUGGAGGCUGAGGCAGGAGGAUCGCGAAUUCAAGGCCAGCCUCAGCAAAAGUGAGGCGCAAAGCAACUCAAUGAGUCCUUGUCUCUA
rnacentral:sRNA from 1 species